GUAGCCGAGAAGGUUCAUGAACUGCACCACCUCCCAGCCCUUGAAGUAGCUGAACCAGACGGUGCCUUGGUAUUGGUCGCCGGCGUCGAGGAGCAGCACGUUGGGAGGAUGCGUCAGAUUCAGAUACAACCAGAGGACCUGUUAGUCAUCAUGGAUGCUCAUUCACUCCACACCAGCGUACCAUGCAGGAUCAGGCACUUGACAUCAUAUUUGCCAUUUUACAAAAACGUGAAGGCCCGCCAUCUAUGACAGAGAGUCGCUUCCGACGCUUCGUGACUUCAUGGACCAGCCCACGCC